rnacentral:rRNA from 1 species
UACGGAGGGACUAGCGUUGUUCGGAAUUACUGGGCGUAAAGCGCGCGUAGGCGGGCUGGCAGUUGGGGUGAAAUCCCGAGGCUUAACCUCGGAACUGCCUCAAUCUGCCAGUCUUGAGUUCGGAAGAGGUGAGUGGAAUUCCUAGUGUAGAGGUGAAAUUCAUAGAUAUUAGGAAGAACACCAGUGGCGAAGGCGGCUCACUGGUCCGAUACUGACGCUGAGGUGCGAAAGCGUGGGGAGCGAACAGGAUUAGAUACCCUGUAGUCC